AGAGUUUGAUCCUGGCUCAGGAUGAACGCUAGCGGCAGGCUUAACACAUGCAAGUCGAGGGGCAGCAUAAUGGUAGUAAUACUAUUGAUGGCGACCGGCGGACGGGUGCGUAACGCGUAUGCAACCUACCCUUUACAGGGGGAUAACACUGAGAAAUCGGUACUAAUACCCCAUAAUAUUCUGGGAGGCAUCUUUCGGAGUUGAAAGCUUUGGUGGUAAAGGAUGGGCAUGCGUUGUAUUAGCUAGUUGGUAAGGUAACGGCUUACCAAGGCGACGAUACAUAGGGGGACUGAGAGGUUAACCCCCCCACGAUUGGUACUGAGACCACGGACCAAACUCCUACGGAGGCA
rnacentral:rRNA from 1 species